rnacentral:rRNA from 1 species
AGCAGCCGUGGUAAUUCCAGCUCCAAUAGCGUAUAUUAAAGUUGUUGCAGUUAAAAAGCUCGUAGUUGAAUUUCGGGAUCAAUUUAUUAGUCGUGCUAUUGUACGUACUGGUAUUAUUGAUUCCUACCUUCUGACGAACCAUGAUGUCAUUAAUUUGGUGUCAUGGGGAAUCAGGACUGUUACUUUGAAAAAAUUAGAGUGUUUAAAGCAGGCUCACGCUUGAAUACAUUAGCAUGGAAUAAUAGAAUAGGACGGCAUGGUUCUAUUUUGUUGGUUUCUAGGAUCACCGUAAUGAUUAAUAGGGAUAGUUGGGGGGCAUUAGUAUUCAAUUGUCAGAGGUGAAAUUCUUGGAUUUAUUGGAGACUAACUACUGCGAAAGCAUUUUGCCAAGGAUGUUUUC